CCGAAUACCUCAGGAUAAUUUCCCCAUUUCAAGAUCUUUAAUUACAAUUGCAAAGAUUCCAUGGCAACGGAUGCAGCAGAUCCAGAACCACGACUUCCGCCCGAAGUGGAGGAGCAGGACGUCAGCGCGCUGCCGGUGUCCUGCGCUGGGGAGAGCAGAUGAAGCGCCCCCGGCCGCCUGGAUGUAACGUGGAAUCUGCGACUCCCAAGCAGGGCAAGGAGGGAAAGGACAGGAGACUUCCACAGCCCAGAAUUUCAUCCCUUUUCCUGCAGAAAGGAACCAGGGCUCCUGGGAGAAAUGAUUGAUUCCAAAACUAAACAGAGAAAGUCCCAGAGGGAGCUGUAAAUCUCUAGCCAGACACCAGAUCAAGGGCUUCCAGGGUGGAACAGAUGUGGAUGCAGAC